UACCAGCUCUCCGAGUGGUAGGGAUGAUUAUUGGGCUUAAAGCGUCCGUAGCCGGCUUAGCAAGUCUCCUGUUAAAUUCAGCGACCUAAUCGUUGAGCCGCGGGAGAUACUACUAGGCUAGGAGGCGGGAGAGGUCAACGGUACUUCCGGGGUAGGGGUGAAAUCCUAUAAUCCCGGGAGGACCACCAGUGGCGAAGGCUGUUGACUAGAACGCGCUCGACGGUGAGGGACGAAAACUGGGGGAGCGAACCGGAUUAGAUACCCGGGUAGUCCCAGCUGUAAACGAUGCGAGCUAGGUGUUGGGGUGGCUACGUGCCACUUCAGUGCCGCAGGGAAGCCAUUAAGCUCGCCGCCUGGGGAGUACGGCCGCAAGGCUGAAACUUAAAGGAAUUGGCGGGGAGCACCACAAGGCGUGAAGCUUGCGGUUC
rnacentral:rRNA from 1 species